rnacentral:rRNA from 1 species
GACCAACGCUGGCGGCGUGCUUAACACAUGCAAGUCGAACGCUGAAGACCUGGCUUUUGUUGGGUUGGAUGAGUGGCGAACGGGUGAGUAACACGUGAGUAACCUGCCCUCUUCUUUGGGAUAACGCCCGGAAACGGGUGCUAAUACUGGAUAUUCACUGAUCUUCGCAUGGGGGUUGGUGGAAAGGUUUGUUCUGGUGGGGGAUGGGCUCGCGGCCUAUCAGCUUGUUGGUGGGGUGAUGGCCUACCAAGGCUUUGACGGGUAGCCGGCCUGAGAGGGUGACCGGUCACAUUGGGACUGAGAUACGGCCCAGACUCCUACGGGAGGCAGCAGUGGGGAAUAUUGCACAAUGGGCGAAAGCCUGAUGCAGCGACGCCGCGUGAGGGAUGGAGGCCUUCGGGUUGUAAACCUCUUUCGCUCAUGGUCAAGCCGCAACUGUGGGUUGUGGUGAGGGUAGUGGGUAAAGAAGCGCCGGCUAACUACGUG